UACGUAGGGUGCAAGCGUUGUCCGGAAUUAUUGGGCGUAAAGAGCUCGUAGGCGGUCUGUCGCGUCUGCUGUGAAAACUCAGGGCUUAACCCUGAGCUUGCAGUGGGUACGGGCAGACUAGAGUGCGGUAGGGGAGACUGGAAUUCCGUGGUGUAGCGGUGAAAUGCGCAGAUAUCAGGAGGAACACCAAGUGGCGAAGGCAGGCUCGCUGGG
rnacentral:rRNA from 1 species